UUAAAAGACCUAGCAAUAGGUAUGCUUAGGGAAGAGCUUGCGUCACAUUAGUUAGUUGGUGGGGUAAUGGCCUACCAAGACGAUGAUGUGUAGCCGGGCUGAGAGGUCGAACGGCCACAUUGGGACUGAGACACGGCCCAAACUCCUACGGGAGGCAGCAGUAAGGAAUUUUCGGCAAUGGAGGAAACUCUGACCGAGCAAUGCCGCGUGAACGAUGAAGUAUUUUGGUACGUAAAGUUCUUUUAUUAGGGAAGAAAAGAUGGUGGAAAAACCAUUAUGACGGUACCUAAUGAAUAAGCCCCGGCUAACUAUGUGCCAGCAGCCGCGGUAAUACAUAGGGGGCAAGCGUUAUCCGGAAUUAUUGGGCGUAAAGGGUGCGUAGGCGGUUAAAUAAGUUUAUGGUCUAAGUGCAACGCUCAACGUUGUGAUGCUAUAAAAACUGUUUAGCUAGAGUUGGAUAGAGGCAAGUGGAAUUCCGUGUGUAGUGGUAAAAUGCGUAAAUAUACGGAGGAACACCAGAAGCGAAGGCGGCUUGCUGGGUCUUAACUGACGCUGAGGCACGAAAGCGUGGGGAGCAAACAGGAUUAGAUACCCUGGUAGUCCACGCCCUAAACGAUGAGUACUAAACGUUGGAUAAAACCAGUGUUGAAGUUAACACAUUAAGUACUCCGCCUGAGUAGUACGCACGCAAGUAUGAAACUUAAAGGAAUUGACGGGACUCCGCACAAGCGGUGGAUCAUGUUGUUUAAUUCGAAGGUACCCGAAAAACCUCACCAGGUCUUGACAUGCUUUUGCAAAGCUGUAGAAAUACAGUGGAGGUUAUCAGAAGCACAGGUGGUGCAUGGUUGUCGUCAGCUCGUGUCGUGAGAUGUUGGGUUAAGUCCCGCAACGAGCGCAACCCUUGUUGUUAAUUGCCAUCAUUAAGUUGGGGACUUUAGCAAGACUGCCAAUGAUAAAUUGGAGGAAGGUGGGGACGACGUCAAAUCAUCAUGCCCCUUAUGACCUGGGCUACAAACGUGAUACAAUGGCUGUUACAAAGGGUAGCUAAAGCGUAAGCUUCUGGCGAAUCUCAAAAAAACAGUCUCAGUUCGGAUUG
rnacentral:rRNA from 1 species